rnacentral:lncRNA from 1 species
UUUUUUUUUUUGCUGAAAACGGAUAUUUCAUACAAUACGUGUACGAAUACAUCCAAGAAAGUCAAAAUACAACAACUCACGGAGAGCCUGUGGAAGCUCCCCCUCUCCUCCCUAAAGAGUGUACCCUGAGUAGUCGGCCGCAUAGGUCGCCACCCAGUCGGCCGCCCCAUUAGCUUCCCUAAAUACAUGCUUAACCAAAAAAGCCCUCCCAUCUCCCAUCAUCAUCCGUAAAUCACGGGUCAAGGGAUGGUCUGUACCAUCAGCCGUCUCCCCC